GCUGGGAUAGCUCAGUUGGUAAGCAUGAUACUCUUAAUCUCAGGGUUGUGGGUUUGAGCCCCACCUUGGGCA